rnacentral:rRNA from 1 species
UACGUAGGUCCCAAGCGUUAUCCGGAUUUACUGGGCGUAAAGUGUCCGUAGCCGGAUAUAUAAGUCUGUUUUCAAAUGCCACGACUCAAUCGUGGAAAGGGAAUAGAUACUAUAUAUCUAGAGAAUAUUGGAGGUUAGUGGAAUUUCCGGUGGAGCGGUGAAAUGCGUUGAUAUCGGAAAGAACGCCGAAAGCGAAAGCAGCUAACUAUGAUAUUUCUGACGGUGAUGGACGAAAGCUUGAGGAGCAAACGGG